rnacentral:tRNA from 1 species
UGGCUGAGUGGUUAAGCGCUUGGCUUCCCAACCAGGGGUCCCGGGUUCGAAUCUCGG